rnacentral:lncRNA from 1 species
CCUGUUUCCACUCUUGGCUCAUCAAAAUAAACCUCUAGGGGAAGUGGGCUCAGAAAACACCCUGUAGCUUGGCAGUGCCUGCUGUUGAAGUGGCUUAAGAGUGUAUUGUCCGCAGCUGUCUUCCCUGCUCUGUCUUUCAACUUGUCUUAUUCUGUGAUUCUGUUAUUGCAGGGGCUGUGGCAUAGGACAUGCACUCUCUACUCCAGCCAGGACAGGGGUAGUUUGGAUCUUCCUGACAGCAGCUCUCUCUGUGUCCCUGCCCCGAGAGGAGUAAACUCCGGAGGUGGGCUGCAGACAUCAAAUGGUGGGCUGCAGACAUCCAAUGGCAGACCAGCUUACUUUCACCUCUUGAACAAGUGAGAGACAUAGGAAGAAAAAGCUUCCUCAAGAUAAGAGCAGGAGCCUAUGUUGUACGUGCACUCAGUGGAUCAAAACAUGAAGCUUUGCUGACAGCAUUUCCUUCUCCAUCCACAUCGCUGGUAUCAUCUGCCUGAUAUUUCCAAGGUGUGUUCUCACCUCCGACAUUCAGCUUAUCAAGAGGUUAAUACUACCUCGUUAUCACAUCAUUUUUGUUACUGCAAGAGGAUUUACACACAGACUGAAAAACUGCAAAACAGAUAGAGGCGAGGGAGGUACUAUAAAAAAUAAUCCUGCCUCAUUUUUUCUCAUUUGACUCUUCAGUCAUUUUUUCUUAGUUGGUUAGUGUCCAAAGUUACUCUUGAGCUUGGUUUGAGAACUCAGCUUGAACCCUCAGUAUUUUACUUCUUCAAAACUGCUCAUGUUUUGAUGAGCUCUAUUAAUGCCUGGGUGAUUACAGGAGGAACAGUACUCUGCUGGGAGUUUCAGGAGCACUGAGCAGGGGGAUCACCCCUUCCCUCAGUCUGCCAGUGCAGCCCAGCCAGCCUGCAUGCUGUGGGGCACUGCCAGCACCCGCUGCUGCCCUCCCCAGACUUGCUGAGGGUGCACUGUGUCCCACUGCCCAGGGCACUGGGGAGGUGCUUAGUUCCAGGAGCCUCCUUCUCCUCUGAGAAACGUCACACCUGACUUGUUGCCAGCCAGGCUGUGAAUUUUUCCUGAGCAUUCCUUAAAGUUCCUCAGCCUACCCUAUGGGUCACUCAGCCCGUCCUCAUUUUCAAAUUGUUUGCAAGUGUUCUGGAUGUCAAAAGCCUUGAAAAUGUCAAGGUAUACUUUACUAUUGCUAAUCCUGACAUUUGUUCUUUUAUACAUUGUUCUUUUAUACAUUAAAAACACCUAAAUAUAUAAAAACACAAACAAAGCUUAUUUGGGGGAAAAAAAAAGAGUUCAAAAUUAAAGACUGUAUCAAACUUUUAUAGCUUUCUUGCAAGACAUUGUUAAGUACUCACUCAAAAUUCUCAAAGGCUUCAAUUAAAAUUUUGACAUAAUAACACUUCUCCGUGGUGGCUAGUUUUGUAUCUGUAAUACAUAAGUUUAUUAAACAAG